UACGUAGGGCGCAAGCGUUGUCCGGAAUUAUUGGGCGUAAAGAGCUCGUAGGCGGUCUGUCGCGUCUGCCGUGAAAACCCGAGGCUUAACCUCGGGCUGGCGGUGGAUACGGGCAGACUAGAGGUAGGUAGGGGAGAAUGGAAUUCCCGGUGUAGCGGUGAAAUGCGCAGAUAUCGGGAGGAACACCGGUGGCGAAGGCGGGGUCUCUGGGCAGUAACUGACGCUGAGGAGCGAAAGCGUGGGGAGCGAACAGG
rnacentral:rRNA from 1 species